rnacentral:rRNA from 1 species
CAAGUCGAACGGUAACAGGUCCUCGGAUGCUGACGAGUGGCGAACGGGUGAGUAAUACAUCGGAACGUGCCCGAGAGUGGGGGAUAACGAAGCGAAAGCUUUGCUAAUACCGCAUACGAUCUCUGGAUGAAAGCAGGGGACCGCAAGGCCUUGCGCUCACGGAGCGGCCGAUGGCAGAUUAGGUAGUUGGUGGGAUAAAAGCUUACCAAGCCGACGAUCUGUAGCUGGUCUGAGAGGACGACCAGCCACACUGGGACUGAGACACGGCCCAGACUCCUACGGGAGGCAGCAGUGGGGAAUUUUGGACAAUGGGCGCAAGCCUGAUCCAGCCAUGCCGCGUGCAGGAUGAAGGCCUUCGGGUUGUAAACUGCUUCUGUACGGAACGAAAAGACUCUGGUUAAUACCUGGGGUCCAUGACGGUACCGUAAGAAUAAGCACCGGCUAACUACGUGCCUGCAGCCGCGGUAAUACGUAGGGUGCGAGCGUUAAUCGGAAUUACUGGGCGUAAAGCGUGCGCAGGCGGUUAUGUAAGACAGAUGUGAAAUCCCCGGGCUCAACCUGGGAACUGCAUUUGUGACUGCAUAGCUAGAGUACGGCAGAGGGGGAUGGAAUUCCACGUGUAGCAGUGAAAUGCGUAGAUAUGCGGAGGAACACCGAUGGCGAAGGCAAUCCCCUGGGCCUGUCUGACGCUCAUGCACG